AACGCUAGCUACAGGCUUAACACAUGCAAGUCGAGGGGCAGCAUAGAAGUAGCAAUACUUUGGUGGCGACCGGCGCACGGGUGAGUAACGCGUAUGCAACCUACCUAUCAGAGGGGGAUAACCCGGCGAAAGUCGGACUAAUACCGCAUAAAACAGGGGCACCGCAUGGUGAUAUUUGUUAAAGAUUAAUUGCUGAUAGAUGGGCAUGCGUUCCAUUAGGUAGUUGGUGAGGUAAUGACUCACCAAGCCGACGAUGGAUAGGGGAACUGAGAGGUUGGUCCCCCACACUGGUACUGAGACACGGACCAGACUCCUACGGGAGGCAGCAGUGAGGAAUAUUGGUCAAUGGGCGAGAGCCUGUACCAGCCAAGUCGCGUGAAGGAAGAAGGAUCUAUGGUUCGUAAACUUCUUUUGCAGGGGAAUAAAGUGGAGGACGUGUCCUCUUUUGUAUGUACCCUGAGAAUAAGGAUCGGCUAACUCCGUGCCAGCAGCCGCGGUAAUACGGAGGAUCCGAGCGUUAUCCGGAUUUAUUGGGUUUAAAGGGUGCGUAGGUGGUUUAAUAAGUCAGCGGUGAAAGUUUGCAGCUUAACUGUAAAAAUGCCGUUGAAACUGUUAGACUUGAGUGUAAAUGAGGUAGGCGGAAUGCGUGGUGUAGCGGUGAAAUGCUUAGAUAUCACGAAGAACUCCGAUUG
rnacentral:rRNA from 1 species